rnacentral:rRNA from 1 species
UACGAAGGGGGCAAGCGUUGUUCGGAAUUACUGGGCGUAAAGGGCUCGUAGGCGGCCAACUAAGUCAGAUGUGAAAUCCCCAGGCUUAACCUGGGAACUGCAUCUGAUACUGGAUGGCUUGAAUCCGGGAGAGGGAUGCAGAAUUCCAGGUGUAGCGGUGAAAUGCGUAGAUAUCUGGAGGAAUACCGGUGGCGAAGGCGGCAUCCUGGACCGGCAUUGACGCUGAGGAGCGAAAGCUAGGGGAGCAAACGGG